GGGGUCUGCUGAAGGAGGAAGCUGGGGAAGUGGGCUGCUCAAUCUGACAAGGCCUAUAGGCUCCCAGUGGUGAGGGAUUGCCAUCCUAGGGCACUAGAGACGACAGAUUUGGAGGUGGACGUUUGGGUUUGCUCAAGGACUUCCAAAGCCUGGGGCAGGGAGAAAAAUGUCCUAAAUGGUAGCCUGUGGGAAGAUGAGCUUGCUGAACAGAAGAGUAUGGGAUGGUGGUGGAUAUGGGCAUAUUUAGGGCUAGAUUGGGCUAGAUUCAGGAUAGGGGCAACCUUGGCUUAGCCUCAGCAGUUUGGGGUGGGCAGAGUUGAGGAUUUGCUGCUUAAGCUCAUCCUAGACUCAGCAUCAGGGGAGCCCCCACUCUGGGCAAAAGCAGAGGGAAAGGGAUCCUCCAAGAGUCAGUCAGGCUCUGAGGGGGGAACCAGAGAUUUCUCAAAGUCUAGAUAAGAUUUUCAGAUGGGAGGAGAAGGUGCCUUCAAAUCUGGGGGAGAGCGGUGAGCGCUUCCCCAAACUUUGGUUAGACGGGUGAGGGGGAAAGAAUUGUCACAGCUCAAGCCAAACUUGGCAGAUCAACUAACAGCUCUGGUUGAGUCAGGGAAGGGGGAGGUAGGGGGAAAGUAGGGAUGCCCUCAAGGCUGGGUGGAAGAUGCAAGAUCAGAAAUACUCCUUCCAGACUCCACUUGGGCCCUCUGGGGGGUGGGGAGGGGAACCAGAAGUUUCACCUGGCUCAACAGUUGGCUUAAGGAGAUUUGGUGACUCAAGGGGCUGGCAGAUUUGGUACAUGUAGGAAAGUAGGGAAGGGGAAUUCAGAGGAGGCUAGUUUUGUUUUUUUUUAAAACUGAAUACUGCAAAGGCUGUUCACACAGUAAUAAUUAGGGGUUCGGGACCCGAUGGCCAGUAUGUGAGGCAGGACACAAGAUGGGAAUAUUCCUUAGCAGCUCAUGCCUGCCUAGAGAUGAGGAGAUGGAGAGGUCCCUGUCUGAGUUGGAGAUAAGGGUCGUCUUUCAGGCCUGGAGCAGGGGCACUAGAGAGUCCAGGCCUCCAGCAGCUGUCAAAGCAGUCGGCUGCCACCUUUCCCAGGUCACUGUCUAUUAUUUUCCGCUUCUCCUAGGGGGUGGAGGAGAGUGGGAUACGAGGAGAGAAACAGUGGGAUACACUGUUUCUCUAUUGCUGAAGGAACUUGGACAAGCCUGACCCUCUCUUCCCCUCCCUAAUUUUCUAUAUCUUGCCCAAAAUGUCAAGAGUUUAUUUUUUAAGGGGAGGGAGAACUUGUGUCAUUUCCAAAUGUUAUGUUGAUUUAACUCCAAAACUUUUAUCAGAACUUAAUAUCCCCAUCCAGAGUUCUCACUUAGGAAAGUAAUUAAGGGAUGAAACAUAUAUGGGGCGGGCAGCUGGGCAGUGUGUGGGGCAAUAGGGCAGUGGAGAUGGGUGAAGCCAUCAGAAUAGGGAACUCUGGACGUGAUGUGAUGAAACUUUUUCAUCCCGGCUACUCUGCAUGCAACCUGAAGUCUCAAAGCAGACGUACUUAACCAUCUUUGUGCCAUGGACCCCUAUGGCCAGAAUGUUUUAAAAUAUUUGUUUUUGGUGGCCCAGUGGAUAGAGCACCAGUCCUGAAAUCGGGAGGCGCUGAGUUCCAAUCUGACUUCAGACACUUAACACUUCCUAGCUGUGUGACCCUGGUUCAUUGGAUCCUCCUGAAAUCUAUCCACAGACUCAAGUCAAUAACUCCUGUCCUAGAAGAUUUCCUUCAAGCAUCAUGAAUAGAAACAUCACUGUGGAUGGCUGGAUCCCUAGCAUGAAGCUCAGCUACUGAUAUAAGUGGAAAGGUUGAGUCAGAGAGCAGCAAUUGGACUAUUUGGAACUGGAGAAAUCUAGGGUGAAAAUCUCAGAUCCACCAGUGCCACAAUAUGCGGCAAAAGCAUCCCGAAGUGGGCUUCUGUGCCCCUGGAAACGGCUCAUUAGCUACCCUGCUUUUCCAAGCUUUUCACCUUUUCACAGACUUCUCAGGCUUAGAAGGGACCUCAGAGACCACUGAAUAGAACUGUGCUGGAGCAAGAAUCCCUUCUACCAUAAUCCCCAAUUCAGUCUUGGUUUCAAAGACUUCUGAUGAAGGGGAAUUCUUUCCCUCUCAAGGCACUGGGACAGCCCUCCAUGGAGUUGAAAGAAGUCACUCUGCAACCUCCACCCACUGCUCCUAAUCGUGUGCCCCCAUGCCCAUCCCGGUACCUAGCAUUACCUCCUCUUCCUCCCACAUGACAGUCCUUCCAGUAUUUGAAGAUAGCUAUCAUGUUUUCACCUAAGUCUUUUCUUUGCUGGGUGAAAUACCUCCCAGUUCCUUCAACUGAUCCUCUUAUGGCAUGGUUUUAAGGUCUCUCACCAUUCCAGUGACCCUCCUAUGUCACCCUCUAGCUUAUCAAUAUCCUUCUUAAAAUGUGGUGGCUAUUUGCUGUUCACAAUGAUGUGGGCUGGGCCUUCACCUCCCUAGUUCUGGACACUGUGCCUCUCUUCGGGCAGUCUUAGAUCACAUGGGGCUUUACUUUCUUUACAAUCCAAGCACAGAGUCUAAUGCAGUUGAUGGGACUUUGGCUUCUUCUUGUGGUCAAUUGUUUCACUGAACUGGCAAUCCACUGGGUGCCUCAGAACAUUGUAAAGAUGGUGAGAAACUUUAAAGAUGGUGUUGCUUCCCUGGGGCCUCUGGCAGGUGAAGGAGUUGGGGAAGUGGGCUCCAGAAAAGGCUGGUUUCUCAAGUUAUUAUCGCUCGGGUUUGACAUUUCCUCCCAAGCAGGACCCCUCUGGUUCAUUGUUUGCAUUUCCCACUUGUGUAGAGCUUCUGGGCAAAUGAACUGAAGAAGGCAGCAACAACAGACCACGGUGGUUCACAAACAUUGUGCUGUUUCUUCACGUUCUCCCCAGAUGAAAUUGGAAAAGUGGCAAAUUGCCCCCAAGUCCAUGGAUUGGGCUGGUGGGCUGGGGAGGUGGGGUCCUGAUGGGUCGUAUCAGGCUGCUCCCUUGGGGCCUGCAAGCGAACCACUGGUUUGAUGUGGGGGCGUGUGGCUCUAGGUCCAAUUCCACUGUCUCCUGAGUCAUGUCUGGGACAACAAAGAUGGUGUGCAGUGUUUGGCUUUGACUCCCAGAGUCUAUGCCCUGUAGAACUGGGCAGUUGGUGGGGGGAAUGAGGGGGAAUAGCCUAACCUAGCAGUUUCCCUUCCCCUAAGAACCUCGGGGACAGGUGGGAGCUCAGCCUCUUUACAACCCUUUUACCCAGCCCGGCAGGAAAAUCUUCUAGAUUACUAUAAGUGACCAAGAGUGUAAACUGCUGUCGGCUUAAAGCACAGUUCUCUGAGCACUAAUGAGGAAAUCUGUGAAUCUGAAGGUCCCAUUUAUCCCUCUUAGGGACCCCAUUUUAACAAGCUCUUGAAGGCUUCCUGGUAUUAGGAAAAGCCUCUAAGACCUGGUUAGGAUGGCUGCCACCCUAUAAGGAGAAGCUCUGGCUGGGGGUAUGGGUGAACCCUACUGGUGCUACCUUUCAGUGUUUGGGAGAAAUUCAGUCCCUAUAACAUCCUUGGAGCUCUGUUGGGAAAGGAUGUAGGCCUUUAACAUCCUAUUAGAGAAAACUGUUAUGGUGGAAAGCAGUCUGAAUUUUUCUGAGGGAACCAGUGAUACUUAGCAAGAGCUGCCCACGAAAGAGCACUAUGGCACAAAGGGGCUCUCGAAAGGAGCACUAGUGUAGAGAAGCAAAUCCCAGCUUCCCUCAUUUUCUGGAUCCCCACCCAGGGCAGUACUGUAAGUCACAGAAACUACUCAGAUUUCUGGAGGGUAAGGGCUGUACUGACUGUCUUCAGGCUUGGAUGCAAGCUUUGUGCAUGCCUUAGUUUGCAAAUAAAACUGCGAUGUCUUAAGCCCCGUGAGCCUAAAUGCUUUGAAGGAUAUCUGGGAGCUGGGGAAAAGUGCUUAAUUUUGAUGUUUUCACACUAGCUGGAAUAGUCAAAGAUAGGAGCCUGGGUUCUUGGUGUCGGGAGGAAGCUUUAGCCAGACGGGUUCCAUUAUAUUCACUUUAAUUUCAAACCUUUGGAAGGAUUUUAAUUUUCAAAAAACCAACCUUUCCUCAAUAAUUAAAAGAAUAUUUAGGAAAAUGAUCUGGCAGGCCUAAGAAUAAGUUGAGUUCCUUGGAGUUCAAAGACUAAGCUCAGAGGGAAGUAGGGAAAAGAGAAUAAGUUCUGAUGCACCUUUGGCCUUUGAGAACCAGCGUACUAUGCCAAGCAAGUCAUUUCUUAAGUUCUGAAAGGAGUCCAAUACUAGGCACUGGGGCAAGAAUGGAGCAAUCAAGUGAUUUUGCUGAGAAUUUGGACUCUGUGGCCUAUUACCACCACCACCACUACCUGAUAAUCUUUCUUCCCUUGCUCAGUAAACCCAUUCUCAAGAACUGCCCCUCUCCUGCUUAGGGUAUGGAGGAUGCACUUGCUAUGUAUAUAGGAUGAUUUGUAGGGUUUGGGUGCCUGCCAUGAGGGAAUGGAAUCUUCAGUAGUCUGGCAGCACCACUGGGUGUCAUGGAAAUUCACUCUAGCAUCUAUACAGGAGAUAAUCUGAAAGAAUACAGGGUGCAAGCCCCUUGAGGGAAAGGACCAGUUUGUAUCCUCACUCCCUUAUAAUAGACCAGUUAUAGUUUAUGGAAUUGCUGAAUGCAAGUGCUAAAGUAGCAUUCAUGGUUUUGGACAGUAUAGCCUGAAAAAUGCUCGCAAUCACUAAGUUAAAAUGAGAUUUCACCACACACCUGACAGAUUGACCAAUGACAAAAGAGGAAAAUGGCAAUUGUGGAAUUGUAGGAUAGGCACACUAAUAAUUGACAUUCAGCCAUUCAGCAAAGAGAUGAACUAUGCUCCCAAAGUCACUAGACUUUAUAUUCAUUCGAAUCCAAUAUCACCACUUGGCUGGAGCUCAAAAUGGAGGAAAGGACCCCACACACAUAUCUUAGCACUUUGUUGUAGCAAAGAGCUGGAAACAAUGAUUGUGAAUUGGUGCGUAAGUGAUAUAUAAACAUGGGGGAAUGCAAUGACACAAAUGUGAAUGUAGGGAUUGAUGCAAAGUGAAACCUGAACCAUUUACACAAUGACCACAAUCUAAAGGAAAACUUUUCAAGAACUUAAGAAUGGAUCAAUUCAGUGACCAAGACUUUUAGGGCACUGAUGAUGAAACACAUCCCAUUUCUUGGCAGAGACAUGAUGGGACUGUAGAUGCAGAAUGAAAGACAGUCUUGGUUAGAAAUGGCCAAUAUGUUUUAUUUUGCUUGUCGAGUGGAAGAGGAAAGGAUGCAUGAGUUGGCAGCGACAAAGAGGAAAAAAGCAAGAAAAAUUCAGAAGAGGAUACAAUUUUAUUACAGUCCUCUUGAACAAUCUAUACUUUUAAAAAUUGCACAAAAAUUUUAGGGCUCGAAUACAAUCCUCUCCUAUUUUGAAUAGACAUAAUGGUGUUAAUUUAUAAGUUCAUAAGAAUUUUUUUAAUGGGCCCCAACGAAAAGUACUGAUAAUUCAUUUCUACUUUGUGUGGAGCAGACUGUGCUUGCAAAGUUCUUUAAUAGGUACAUUUUAAGAGGAAAUUUGGCAUAGUGGAGGGUGACCAUCACAGAGAAAGAAUGAAUCAAAUCAUUUAUAUAGGCAAGCUAACUCAUUACUGGUAGGACUAUGAAUUGAUCCAACUAUUCUAGAUAAGUCAUUUGAAACUAUAAAAACUGAUUAUACCCCUUAAAAUGUAGCAAUUUCACUAAGUUCCCAUGAUACAGUAAAAUAUUUAACAGUACUUUUUGUAGCAAUGAAACACUAUAUAUGCAAAGUAAGUACCCACCAAACAAGGAAUGGCUGGAGAAAUUGUGAUAUGUGUAUGUAACGCUAUUACUGUACCAGAAGAAAUGAAGAUAUGUUUA